rnacentral:rRNA from 1 species
AACAGCCGCGGUAAUUCCAGCUCCAAUAGCGUAUAUUAAAGUUGUUGCAGUUAAAAAGCUCGUAGUUGAAUUUUAGGCCUGGCCGGACGGUCCGUCUCUGGCGAGUACUGUUCUGUCGUCGGGUCUAUCCUUCUGGUGAAUCGGUAUGUUCUUAAUUGGGCGUGCCGGGGAGCCAGGACCAUUACCUUGAAAAAAUUAGAGUGUUUAAAGCAGGCUUUUGCUUGAAUAGAUUAGCAUGGAAUAAUAGAAUAGGACGUUGUGGUUCUAUUUUGUUGGUUCAAGGACCACCGUAAUGAUUAAUAGGGAUAGUUGGGGGCAUUAGUAUUCAAUUGUCAGAGGUGAAAUUCUUGGAUUUAUUGAAGACUAACUUCUGCGAAAGCAUUUGCCAAGGAUGUUUUCAUUAAUCAAGAACGAA